UAAAUACACAUGAUAACGAUAAUAAUUUUUUAGUGAAAAAAAAACCCAAUAGUUUAAUAUUUUUAAUCAAUCAAAAUAUUAAAAAAAAUUGUAGUGAAUUAACGACACUUCUCGUGUAUGGUAAUUCAUGCGUGAAACUGUGCGCAGUCGAAUUGUCCCGAUCCCCUCAAUGCACUUUUGUGAUUCAACUUGUCAAGAUUGAAAGGGGAUAAGAAGGGAGUUGUGUGUAAAAAGGAAUUGGCUACAACCACCCAACUGUUCACGUGUCACCCCCAAGACAGAGACUUUACAGUGGUUGUCACUCUUAUCUUUUUAAUCAAUUAAAGUAAUGCUGAAGUAGAUUUGGAGUUUCUUUCAGAAUUUUGAUUGGCUGUCCUAUUUAAAAAAUAAAUAAAUCUAAAUGAGUGGUUGCAUGUACAUGCAUAAUUAAGACUAGGAGAAGAUAUGAACGACUUCGAGAUAGCUAGUACUGAUAUAUUUUUACAUAUAUGAUAAACUUUAAAUAAUUAUUUAAAAAUGUUUAUAUCAUUUCAAUAGUUUGAAGUUUAUCAGAAGAAAGAAAACACACAUAAAGAAUAAAGAAAAAAAGGAAUGAUAUUAAAUUAGUUCAAUAGUAACUGGCUAGUAACCACGGCCAACGUUUAAAAUGUUAUGUCUUAAAUUUAAAAAUGGCUUUUAUUUAUUCAGACGCGUAAUAAAGCCCGAUGAAGCACUACAUUUGAUAAAAUGCAAGCCUCAAUAUCAAUAUACGCACUUUUUAAAAUUUAUUAUAAGUAAAGAACAAAUAUUUUUCAAUCAAGUUGAUUUUUAUUGCAUGUUUAAAAGAAAAAAGUAGAAUAACAAUGAAUACUGAAGUCCGUGGAAAAUUCAUUCGGAAAGUCCCUAAUGAAAUGGCAAAAUCAAAACCUCAAAUACAUCAACAACGAGUGGAAAACACCUGUCACAUUUCUAACUUGGAACAGGCAUUUUUAUGUAGAAAAUGGAGGAUUGAAACUAGUUAUAUAGCUAGCUGAACCUCUCACUAUUAUGACAGUCGCACAAAAAAGAUGAUUAAAAAAUAAAUCAUAACGAACAUAUUAUUUAUUUAUAAUAUGUUUGGUUUGUUAGUUUUUAAACGUUAAUAUAUAAAAAAAGAAGAUGUGGUAUGAUUGCCAAUGAGACAAC
rnacentral:lncRNA from 1 species